rnacentral:lncRNA from 1 species
UUUCUCUAUCCUCUUUUUAUAUGGCAGAGAUUUCCUUGUCGCCAUAGGCAUUUUUGGUCAAAGCAAGAUGCCAAACAACUUUUGAGAAAACCUUCAAGCUUUUGCACCUUCCAGUCAAACGAUGCCACACUAUUUUAGUGUUGUCUCUUUCUUGCCUCUUCCAUAUUUGUGCUUGAUGACCCGUGAAUCUUCAAGGUCUCAGUCAAAAUCACGACAUUUCGGACAAGAAGCUGAACCAAAUCAUGUGAGCACACAGAUCGUCUCAACGUUCGGAUUCAAACGGACUCUGACUCCAUUUUGAAUCCCUAAUUUUGAAAUCCCGCUCAAAAAUUCAAACCCUUGAUCUACAUCUCCUAUAAAUACUUGCAUUCGGGAGAGUUUAGAAAAGGCUCGGAGCCGCCCCUCUAUACCCUCUAAGUUUAAGUUUCAGCCCGCUCCUUUAACCUUAGGACUUCAGUCGCAUCUUUCAUCCUAAACUCGUUGCUCCUAUUUCCUCUAAAUAUAUCUUUAUUUCUGUUCGGCAUAGCCAUAGCCGAAGCUUUAAAAUAUUUUCUAAAUCAUACCUGAGUUGACGAGUUCGUGGGAAUAGCCUGUGACAAGCGCUCUAGUUCACUGCCCGCAAAAAGGUCAGUAACUUCGAAAUCUUUCUUCUCGCUUUUUCCUAUAUUUGAAGUUCUGAAAUGUUUGUUUGUUUGCUUUAGAAAUCUUAUCUCCAGUUUACUUUCCAUGUAAAAGGCGUGAUUCAAUAUUUGUUCAUGGAUGAAAUCAUGAAAGAUUAUGUGUUUAAACUAUCUCUUAAUUAAUUAAAAUAAAAUGUCAAUGGACAUAUGAAUAUAUUUGCAUGUUAGUUGCUCUCUUUGUUGUUGUCUUUUUAAUAGUGAUGUGUGCUGGAAACUACCUUGAAUCUGAAUGUAUAUCCAUAAGCACAUGAUUUGGUUUCUGUUUAAGUAUAUAUCUUUUAGUUGUCGGUUUGUCGAAAAUUCGGUGAACUGAAAUUUUCUUCUCGCUCUUUGUCUCGGAAGAUCUAAAGUGGUUGUAUGUUCUUUGAAUAAGUUUUAUAUUGCUGUUUUGUCAAAAUCGUGAUUUAGAGCUAUACUUGUUUGUAGAAAUCAUGAAGUCACAGGUAUUCUAUUUGGAAUAUAAAAAAAAAAGAGAAAAGAGUUCGACUAAGUAUGUAUAGAUUCUGGAAACUAGCACCUUAGUUGUUAAUGUUAUGGCCUUUUGCUCUAAAGUAUUACAAUCUGCUCGUUUCUUUGGUCGAAGUUCCAAUGUUACCUCUUCGUCCCAAACGUGCCAAACUUUUGCUUUUCAUGCCAUGAAUUUGGAUUGUGUUUUAAAAUACUAGUUAAACUUUACUGGUUUCGUUAGUUUAAAUGACGUAGAAAACAUGUUGUUAGGAUCUUAGGGAUCAACUGUCUAUAUGCUUAGUUCAAUUAUUUUUCUGUGUUUAAAGGGAUAGUUUGCUUCACAGAAUUAUGUCUAAAAGUCAAUACUUAGGAUCUCUUUAUAUAUCUACUACAUGUAUAGAAGUCUGCUUGUUCUUAGCAUUUGGGUUCAAGAUCAUGUUUCUAAGAUUUUUCUCAUAUUUCUAAAGAAGCAAAAAUUGUGGUUAUUUAAGGUGAAAUGUAAUUUCAAGUUCUAAAACACUCCCUUGAGAUGUUGUAUGAAAUUCUAGUAUGCGUCUUAUACUUUGUUCUAGUGAUCCUAAUGCUGGGUAAAAAUGUUUUGCUUUUAUUAAUUUUGAUAUGACAAGUUGAAAGCAUCCUGAUUUCCUUUGGUUGAUUUUCUCUUUGACAAAGAGGAAACAUUAUAAAUAUUACUUCACUGGAGGAAUCAUUUGUAUGUAGUAUAUUGCUUUUUUUUUUUAGCUUCGGGAUCAUUACAAAACUAAAGAAGUAAUGAUAUGCUUAUCUUGUGUCUUCUAUUUUUGUAUAUUACAUAGAACUAAAUCUUCCUCUCUAUUUCUGUUUCUUUAUUUAUUUGCAUAUACAUUUGGAGCAAAAAAAUGGAGUCUCACCCGAGACUCAGCACUAACCGAGCAUGGAGUCAUCAUAUCUCAUAUUCCUAUAGAUGCACCGGAUAGCAAGAAAACAAGUGAAACGCUUGGGACGCCUAUGGCGUCUUUCAUUUUUCUUUUCUCUUAUCAUCUUUUUAAUUUCUUUAUGAUUGUCGAUUUAUUUGGGGGUUUGUCUUAUAUUAGAUUUGGUACCUAAAUCUUGUUUGUUUAGUGGCAUUUACUGUAGUUAAUAAUAAACAACCGAUUUUAAUUACAUGAGUCUUAAGGGCUUUUAAAAUCAACAAUUUGAGAUAAUGGCUUUAUUUAUUUAUUUCUAAAAUAUUUUCCCACAUCAAUUUUGGAAAUACUUAGCUUUCUUUGUUAGCAUUUGUCCAUAAAAAGUUUGCUUCUUUCUUACAAUGUUCAAGUCUAAUUAAGGUUUUUUUUUUUGAAAAAUGGCCUUUGUAGCGUGUUUUUUUUUUUGGCAUAUCAAACUCAAGUUUUACGCAUUUAGUAAUAUUUUAGUAUAUAAAAAUAGUCACAUGUUAUUUUCCAACUAUGUAUAAAAAUAUUAAAUUUUCUACUUAUAAUAAUUAACCUAAGUUUAGUCGGUUAAUCAUUUUUAAUGGAUCUUAAAAGGUGCCUUACUCCUUCCUUUUGAGAUAACUAGAACCUUUACCUAGAAUUUCUAAAACUAAGCAGACCAUAUAAAACAGAGCUAACUUUAAGCAUUAUUUGGUUAAAAUUGGUGUCCUAAUUCACCGUUAAAAUAAUUAGGUGGCGACUCUCCUAAUUUAUUAAACCUUCAGAAUUAUCAAUAUGUUAUACUCUAGUUUGACCCGUGUUAAAAUGGAGUAUAACAAGUAUCUCCCUCACCCAGCCAACUAAUUCUAGACUUCAGCUUCUAGAAGUGCUCUUCAUUCUUGAGAAUGACAGAGAACUCCUGCUGGAGAUUGACUUCUAACUCUUGUAGGAAGCUACUGAAGGGAUAUAUUAGACUUUUGGAUGCCAGCAAGCCUCGCUAGGAUGUGACUUUUCCUAUUAAAUAUGUUUCCAAACACAUGCUUAUUCCGAAUGGAC